AUACUCUACACUUUUUACCGUUGCCUGAAUCUUAAUUUGGGGAGGAAGUAAAGAAAACCUCACCUACCAUGAUUCCAUCCCGAGGGAAGGAAGCACAUCCCCUGAGGACCUGACUUCAGAGGCAGGGAAGAAAGAGUUUCAGGACCCUCGAGCCGGGGGAGACUCUGUGUAUGGCUUCGUCGUGCUGGGCCUGCCCUCCCAUCUGGGUUCAGUUCCAAGGACAGGGCCAUUUUCUGUAAUUGAAUAGGUUUUUCUGUGACAUUUCCUUGAUCACGUGUAAAUAUUUCCUCAAUUGGGCACAUUUCAAGCUCUAUUUGAAGUGCAAUAGAGGUGAAUGUAGCCUCCACCUUCACAAGGCAGAGACCACCAUGAGGGCCCACCCACUGCACGAGCUCAGUGGUCCCCUUUCCAGGGAAGGGAGGAGACCCCAUCUGACGGCCCCUGGUUCAAUGAUGCAGCUUGUGGUGUUUGGUUAAACCAGCGGUCUAACAGUUGCUGUUGCUGCCCUUUCAAGUCACAGUGGUGACCCUCUUCUCUCUGGGGACCGUCUCCAUCCAGAAGCCCCUGCAGGUGCCGCAUGGCUCCUCUCCAGCUGACUAAGCCCAGGCAUCUGGUGGAGGCUCCCUGGUGGGACGCACGAGGAGUGGGCGCGGGCUCCCUGAAGCAGAAAUGAACUCACAGGAAGGACAUUGCACGGCCCGGUCGUCAGGGACCUGGAGUCCGUCCCCCACUCCUGGGUUGUGGUGGUGUCCUCAUUACCAUCGAGGGAGCUCCUGGGCCACCAGCCAUUCAUUGAUCUGGGUCAGAACCAGCAGGAUAGAGGAGGUGGCACAAGGCCCUCCCAUUGAUAACACUUCCUGAAGAACCCACUCUUCACUGAAGAAGCUUCCUGCUCACAGCUCCACCCAGACGUGGUAUAUGGCCCUGCCUGGCUGCAAGGAGGCGGGGGCUCGAAAUCCUUUACCUAGGGGCACAGCUGCCGUCAGCGAAGUCGGGGUUCUCUCACUGGGAAGAGGGGGACGAGGACGUCUGAUGGGCCACUAGCUCAUAGCAGUGUCAGAGCCACCAGGAGAUCUGGGUUCUGUUCAGCUGUUCUUAUCCAUGGGGCUAAAACACUCCCUUGUGUUACUAUUGUUUUGUGGGGCCUCACAAGCAAUUUUUAUAAAUGGCA
rnacentral:lncRNA from 1 species